GGUUAUUUCCGGGUUGGGUUAGGGUUAGGGUUAGGGUUAGGGUUAGGGUUAGGGUUAGGGUUAGGGUUAGGGUUAGGGUUAGGGUUAGGGUUAGGGUUAGGGUUAGGGUUAGGGUUAGGGUUAGGGUUAGGGUUAGGGUUAGGGUUAGGGUUAGGGUUAGGGUUAGGGUUAGGGUUAGGGUUAGGGUUAGGGUUAGGGUUAGGGUUAGGGUUAGGGUUAGGGUUAGGGUUAGGGUUAGGGUUAGGGUUAUUUCCGGGUUGCUUAUUUCCGAGUAGGGUUACUUCCGGGUUGUCAAUUUCCGGGUAGUGUUACUUCCGGGUUGUCUAUUUCCGGGUAUGGUUACUUCCGGAUUGCCCAUUUCCAGGUAGGGUUACUUCCGGGUAUGUCUACUUUCUUGUCUUUUCCCGGGUAGGUAUAUUUCUGGGUAUGGUUACUUCCGGGUAGGUUUAUUUCCGGGUCUACUUACUUCCGGUUUGUCUAUUUCCGGGUAGGGUUACUUCCGCGUUUUCUAUUUCCGGUUAAGGUUACUUCCGGAUUGUCUAUUUCCUGGGAAGGGUUUCUUCCGGGUUUUUAGGGUUAUUUCCGGGUUGCUUAUUUCCGAGUAGGGUUACUUCCGGGUUGUCAAUUUCCGGGUAGUGUUACUUCCGGGUUGUCUAUUUCCGGGUAUGGUUACUUCCGUAUUGCCCAUUUCCAGGUAGGGUUACUUCCGGGUAUGUCUACUUCCUUGUCUUUUUCUGGGUAGGUA
rnacentral:lncRNA from 12 species